rnacentral:lncRNA from 1 species
CGUUAACGUCUGGCGUCCUUUGUGCCCGCUCCUCUCCUUCCAGUACCUGUCAGACGCCUCUUCUACCCUGCGCCCUCCCCCGCCGCCAUUGCUCGCAGGUGCCUCGCGCAUAUUUUGAUGUUCCCGCCCCGCCACCUACUCCGCAUUGUCAACGGGUGCCUGGCGCCCAUACCUUGUCUCGAGAAUCCCUUAAGGUCGCCCUUCCGCGCAGAUAUGGUACUCGUGCCUGUCUUUUCACGUGCCCCACUCACUCAGGUUUGAACGUUGCAUUUCCUGGCAACAGGAGAAUGCUCCCUUCCCCUUUGGUCAGUUGGUAUCAGACAAGAGGACGCUCAGAGCCAGCUCUUGAGAGUUCAAGCAACAGAAAAUAUCCCACUGCUCCCAGGAGCGGUUACCAGGGCACUCUCUGCCGUUUAUCCCUGUCCCGGUCCCGUCCCGGAGCCGAGGACCCUCCAGUAGGACUCAGUCGCCUUGAGCCUGCUGCCCACAUCCCUCACUUCACUUUGCUCGUGGGAUCUCUCCGUUGCUCCUGCCCCUGGACGGAGUGGCAAGCCAUCCUACCAGGACAGGGCCAUGACCCCAGAGGAUGAAGCAGCAGCAUUUAUUCAAGAUACAACAGUGAGGGGAUCCCGUCACAUUCCAGUCUCCCCGGAGAGGGCACAUCUUGAGAAGUGAUCCAGGAGACAUAGAUGGGGUUUGCUGCAUUAUCCAGACUGGUCUCCAACACCUGGGUUCAGUUAUCCUGCUGUGGUCUCUCAAAGUGCUGGGAUUAUAGGCAUGAGCCUCCACACCCAAACACUUGGGGUGGUUUUAAGCCCCCAGUAAGGUGCACCAGCAGGACCAAGAGGUGGCCUGGGCCUCCCCAACACUCUCAUCCAUGCAGACCUAGGACUGAAGCAGAGGGUGCUGUUUCUACGCCACCACCAGGAAAGAGGCAGAGGGGCUGGGCCGUGCUGGAGUCCUCUGGGAGGGAGCAACCUCAACCCUGGCUGUGCUGCAAGCUGGUUCCAGCCCUGCAGGGUCUCAAAUUACUGCAGAAGGCAGUGGAUUACUUCUCAUGGUCACAACGAGCUGGAGACCUCUCCUGA